GCCGACUUUCUCUGGAUUAAGGAAGUUGGAAGUUUGUAUUUGGCUACGGGCGAUGAUGCUCGUCAGCGCGUUGGAAAGAGUCAAUCAAUCAGACUUAAUUACAUAAGGCGCCUUUCAUUGCGACAGUACUUUCGAAAUAGAAUUAACAUCACAAAACAAGCGCCUCAUCCGGCGAGCCGGCAGAUUUAAAUUGGGGAUAAUUUGUAUUAAAACACGCACGGGACAGUAAAACAGGGAUCGUUUCCUUUAAAAGAACGUUUUUUGCAUGGUGUUUCGACUUUCUAUCUACAUCUUAAAGACCCGCAAAUUGUUGGUUGGCUGUGCUGCUAUGACAGGCUAAGGCUCCCUGAGACCCUCUAAAUGGACAAAUCGGAUUCAGGAAAUGAAUGGGCAGAGGGUUGGACGUCAUGCAGUCAUCAGUGAAGAAAGUGUCCAGCAAUCUAGUGUUGGUGUAACAAGAAGAUGGCUAACAGAACAUUUCAGGGAGCACAUUCAAGCCGUUAAGACCAUAGAUCCUACAGGGCCUGUUGUCACGCACUUCACAUCCAUUGAGCACACCUACUGUGAUCUCUCUGUUUAUGUUCUUUCACAGGGCUUCAAAUACCCUUUUUAAAGAAAACCAGUAAACUAAUCUCAUUCUCUCCUGGGAUCACAUAUUUCUCUGGUUCUCAAUGGCCAACUAACUUUUUAAUCUCUCCCUCAAUAUGUGCGUCUUGGGAACUG